rnacentral:lncRNA from 1 species
UAAAUAUUAAGGACAAAGGUGAUUUGAUUUAUAAGGACUAGUGGAAGCAUUUUUUGGUUAAAGAAGCCACUUGAUAAAAUGAUAUAGACAUGCGGGAUAAGUACCCUCACUUGUUUGAGGAUAUAAGUAUUUUUUUUCCUUACUUAACUUAUUUUCUAUGUUUGAUUAUUCAGGGAUGAAUGAGGUAAAUUGGUAUCUAUUUUAUCCUUUUCAUCAUUAUGGAUAAGUUAAUUAUUCAAAUAUUUUGGGAUAAGUUGUUCCCCAAAUUUAAAGUUAAAAAUUUUAGGCUAGGCUAGCUUUGGACAAAAUCUGAGCGAGGUAUGGUU